UACGUAGGUGGCAAGCGUUGUCCGGAUUUACUGGGCGUAAAGAGCGCGCAGGCGGUCGGAUAAGUCGAAUGUGAAAGCCCCCGGCUCAACUGGGGAGGGUCAUUCGAUACUGUUCGACUGGAAGGCAGGAGAGGGAAGCGGAAUUCCCGGUGUAGUGGUGAAAUGCGUAGAUAUCGGGAGGAACACCAGUGGCGAAGGCGGCUUCCUGGCCUGUUCUUGACGCUGAGGCGCGAAAGCUAGGGGAGCAAACGGG
rnacentral:rRNA from 1 species